UGCAGUUUUCAAAACGUCAUAUUCAUUUUCGAAAUAUCUCGUCAAGAAUACGAGAAAAACAAGAAAAUGGCAUAGAUCAACUCAAGUUAUAAAUAAAUAAUAAAUAUUUGCUUCUGAACCUAUUGAAAAUAUUGUAUCAACUGGUUUUGGUUAUAUUGACUAUAAAAUCAUACACAAAUAAAAGAAUCGACUGCACUAUUUGUUUAAAAAUGAUCGAUCAGUAGUGAUUAAAUGGUUGAAAUUUCUUUGGGAAAGCCUGUCCUCCAGAAUUCUCAUAACAUUAAUAAAACAUACCUACCUAAAUCCCAGCUCGAAACAAAUUUACUACAUGUCUCCAAAGUGUAACUGUUCGAAGAAGGCAGAAGAAAUCAUAAAGAACAAGUUCCCAGAAAUCACUCUUGUUGUAAUGUUCACCAUAUACUUUCUCGUCUCAUUCAUCAGAGACAAUCUGUACAAAGGACCACCAUCGAAAUCGAUAUAGAGGAUGAAUUGCUAUAAUAGUUCGAGGAAUAUCCUGAAAGAUCUGAGGAAAUGAAAUGGACAUUCCUAGUUUAUUUAGACUUCUAUCUGCAUAUACAGGAUGGCCCAAAUAUAACAUGCCUAGUCGAACAUUUCC